rnacentral:lncRNA from 1 species
GAAAAGGCAGUGGAAGGAAUUUGGUGCUGGGCCUGAGGGGUGGAGAAGAGGAGCUGUGGAAGGACUUCCGAGGGGCAGCAUGGUAAGCUUUCACAGGAAUUAUGGUUGAAGAGCAAACAGGAAAACCCUCAGGCUGGAGGUAGGGUGUUAAUUUUUAGAGUUCUGUCUCACUUUUAAAAUUGAAUACAUGUUAUAAAAAUCAAAAUGCUCAAAGUCAUAAACAAAGUAAAUAUUCCCACCUU